GUUAAAAAAGCUUUAUUAGAAGCACUGGUCUUGUAAAUCAGGGAUGAACUAUUAAUUUGUUCUUUUAUCA
rnacentral:tRNA from 1 species